AGUGGAACAUCCCAUCUUCUCUCUCACUGGAAACAAUAUGGAGAGAGAAGACCAAAAGCAGUCUGUAACUUCACCUUUGAUUCGGAUAUCCGGCGAAACUGAUGAUUUGACGCUGAGCAACGAACAGAAAUCAAGCAAUGGAAGUGAUACAAGGAAGAACAUUUUUGAGGAAGUGAAGAAACAGCUAUGGCUAGCAGGGCCUCUAAUAGCUGUGAACCUGUUGCAGUAUUGUAUACAGAUGAUAUCAGUGAUGUUCGUUGGGCAUCUUGGUGAACUAGCUCUGUCUGGUGCUGCCAUGGCUACUUCUUUUGCAACAGUUACUGGUUUCAGCUUGCUGAUGGGGAUGGCAGCUGCACUGGAUACUCUUUGCGGACAGUCAUAUGGGGCAAAGCAGCAUUCUAUGCUGGGCAUACACAUGCAAAGAGCCAUGAUUGUUCUUGAAAUUGUGAGCAUACCCCUUGCAAUUAUAUGGGUAAACACAAGACCAAUUCUAGUUCUUCUUGGUCAAGAUCAUGACAUAUCAAAGGAAGCAGGAGAGUAUGCCUGUUUCAUGGUUCCGAGCCUUUUUGCAUAUGGUCUUCUUCAAUGUCUAGUCAAAUUCUUGCAAACUCAAAACAUUGUAUUCCCAAUGAUGAUAUGCUCUGGAAUUACAACUUUACUGCACAUUCUUGUUUGUUGGAUCAUGGUUUUCAAAUCUGGCCUUGGAUCUAGAGGAGCUGCCUUGGCGAAUGCAAUCUCCAGUUGGAUAAAUGUGUUCUUGUUGGUGUUAUAUGUUAAGUUCUCUCCUGCAUGUGCAAAGACUUGGGCAGGAUUUUCAAAGGAGGCCUUUCGCAAUAUUUUCUCUUUUCUUCGACUUGCUAUUCCAUCAGCUAUUAUGGUCUGCUUGGAGAUGUGGUCGUUUGAAAUGAUGGUUCUGCUAUCAGGUCUUCUUCCUAAUCCAGUGUUACAAACUUCAGUGCUCUCUAUUUGCCUUAACACUGCUUCUACAGUUUGGAUGAUACCCUUUGGACUCAGUUGUGCAGCAAGCACUCGGGUCUCAAAUGAAUUAGGAGCAGGGCAUCCAGAAGCAGCACGUUUAGCUGUAUAUGUUGUGAUAGUCAUGGCCAUUUCUGAGGGCCUUUUGGUGGGAUCAAUCUUGAUAUUGAUUCGCAACAUCUGGGGCUAUGCUUAUAGCAAUGAAGUAGAAGUAAUUAAGUAUGUAGCAGCCAUGAUGCCAAUUCUAGCAAUUUCAAACUUUUUAGAUGGCAUCCAGAGUGUUCUCUCAGGUGGUGGGUGCGGAUGACAGCACUUAAUGAUGAUUAAAGUAUGGUUCUUUGAUAUGCACAUUCAUGUUUGUACUACUGAUCAGAAAGAGUACUUUAAUCUGUUUCAUACUCCGGUUUCCAGCAUCCAUUUCAGUCAUCAAGGAAUUGCCUUUUUAUGAAUGGAAUGAGAUUCACAAAACAUGCAUUGCUAGAGGAUGUGGAUGGCAGAAGAUUGGAGCAUAUGUCAAUCUUGGAUCUUAUUAUUUAGUGGGGAUUCCAUGUGCUAUUUUGUUAGGUUUCGUCCUUGAUGUUCGUGGAAGGGGUCUCUGGCUGGGAAUCAUAUGUGCACUUAUUGUCCAAGUAACUUCUCUUAGUAUUAUUACAAUACGAACUAACUGGCAACAAGAGGCAAGCAAAGCUGUGGAGAGAGUCUAUGAUUAUGUGAUUCCGGUGGAAGUUGUGUCAUGAAGGUUAUUUUUCAUCUCAUCCAAGGAGAAACUUAAUGUUUCACCUAAAAAUUGUAGGUGCUGGAGCUACAUACUUUCUACAUAUGUUUAAGGACUUAAUUCUGUUUGAAUCUAUUUUAAGAAUGCCGGAAGUUGCUUUAUAGGAAUUAAAUAAGGAACGUACUUGUAAAAUUUUUGCUAAAAAAUUUAAACAAAUAGAAGUCAAUUUCCUGAA